AUCUGACUGUCCCCCCCUUCUGUGAGAGAAGUCUGAAAACCACGGCAAUGGCCAUCAAAAAACCAACAACUUCCUCUGUCGCCUGCUCACUUCCUGUUUCUGCGUCUGAGGGCCCAACGGUGCAGUGAUGAUUAGCCGGGCCUUUGCGUGACAAUCAAGCAGCCAGACGCACUUAGUUUCCCCCAUUCAGACCGGAAGCAGCACUAUUGCAACGAAUCAUCUGUGAAAUCUGUCUGUGCCCUUUCAAAAACAGGAAGUGUGACUGAGAUCUGAUAAAGACCCUCUCAAUUUCAUCCAGAUCACAUGGGCAUCAGUCAUCAGAACAACCUCCUCGACAG